CAAUUUAAACAACGAAGAGUUUGAUCCUGGCUCAGGAUGAACGCUAGCGACAGGCUUAACACAUGCAAGUCGAGGGGCAGCGGGGGUAGCAAUACCCGCCGGCGACCGGCGCACGGGUGAGUAACGCGUAUGCAACUUGCCUAUCAGAGGGGGAUAACCCGGCGAAAGUCGGACUAAUACCGCAUGAAGCAGGGGCCCCGCAUGGGGAUAUUUGCUAAAGAUUCAUCGCUGAUAGAUAGGCAUGCGUUCCAUUAGGCAGUUGGCGGGGUAACGGCCCACCAAACCGACGAUGGAUAGGGGUUCUGAGAGGAAGGUCCCCCACAUUGGUACUGAGACACGGACCAAACUCCUACGGGAGGCAGCAGUGAGGAAUAUUGGUCAAUGGGCGUAAGCCUGAACCAGCCAAGUCGCGUGAGGGAUGAAGGUUCUAUGGAUCGUAAACCUCUUUUAUAAGGGAAUAAAGUGCGGGACGUGUCCCGUUUUGUAUGUACCUUAUGAAUAAGGAUCGGCUAACUCCGUGCCAGCAGCCGCGGUAAUACGGAGGAUCCGAGCGUUAUCCGGAUUUAUUGGGUUUAAAGGGUGCGUAGGCGGCCUUUUAAGUCAGCGGUGAAAGUCUGUGGCUCAACCAUAGAAUUGCCGUUGAAACUGGGGGGCUUGAGUAUGUUUGAGGCAGGCGGAAUGCGUGGUGUAGCGGUGAAAUGCAUAGAUAUCACGCAGAACCCCGAUUGCGAAGGCAGCCUGCCAAGCCAUUACUGACGCUGAUGCACGAAAGCGUGGGGAUCAAACAGGAUUAGAUACCCUGGUAGUCCACGCAGUAAACGAUGAUCACUAGCUGUUUGCGAUACACUGUAAGCGGCACAGCGAAAGCGUUAAGUGAUCCACCUGGGGAGUACGCCGGCAACGGUGAAACUCAAAGGAAUUGACGGGGGCCCGCACAAGCGGAGGAACAUGUGGUUUAAUUCGAUGAUACGCGAGGAACCUUACCCGGGUUUGAACGCAUUCGGACCGAGGUGGAAACACCUUUUCUAGCAAUAGCCGUUUGCGAGGUGCUGCAUGGUUGUCGUCAGCUCGUGCCGUGAGGUGUCGGCUUAAGUGCCAUAACGAGCGCAACCCUUGCCACUAGUUACUAACAGGUAAAGCUGAGGACUCUGGUGGGACUGCCAGCGUAAGCUGCGAGGAAGGCGGGGAUGACGUCAAAUCAGCACGGCCCUUACAUCCGGGGCGACACACGUGUUACAAUGGCGUGGACAAAGGGAAGCCACCUGGCGACAGGGAGCGAAUCCCCAAACCACGUCUCAGUUCGGAUCGGAGUCUGCAACCCGACUCCGUGAAGCUGGAUUCGCUAGUAAUCGCGCAUCAGCCAUGGCGCGGUGAAUACGUUCCCGGGCCUUGUACACACCGCCCGUCAAGCCAUGGGAGCCGGGGGUACCUGAAGUCCGUAACCGCGAGGAUCGGCCUAGGGUAAAACUGGUGACUGGGGCUAAGUCGUAACAAGGUAGCCGUACCGGAAGGUGCGGCUGGAACACCUCCUUUCU
rnacentral:rRNA from 1 species